AAAGAGAGGUCUUCUUUGGGUUCCCAAUUAGAUGAAAUUUUAAUUUUGUAUGAUUUAUACGAUAAAAUUUUACACUUGAUAUAGAUAAAUAUCAAAAAGAAAGAUGUAAAUAUUUUAGUAGAUAAAAAUUUAAUUUUGUUAUAUUGACUAUUAAAAAUAAGAAUUGAUCCAUGCAAUAAAAUUUUACAAUUGAUGUGAGCAAAAAAUAAAAAAAUAUUGAGAGAGAAAAAAUAAAAAAAAAUAAGAGAGAGAGAGAGAGUGAGAGAGAGAGAAAAAAUAAAAAAAGAAAGUAACCUAAAAAAUCCAAAAAAAACUUGUGGGCCCCACAACCCGAAAAAAAAAAAAGGCCUUCUUUGGGUUUCCAAUUAGAUGAAAUUUUAAUUUUGUUAUCUUGACAAUUUAAAAAUAUGGUUGAUCUAUACGAUAAAAUUUUACAUUUGAUAUAGACAAAUAUCAAAAAGAAAAGAUAUUGAUAUUUAGUAGAUGAAAACUUAAUUUUAUUAUAUUGACUAUUAAAAAAUAGAAUUGUUAUAUGCGGUAAAAUUUAUUAAUUGUUGUAGGCAAAAAAUAAAAAAAGAGAGUGAGAGAGAAAAAAUAAAAAAAAGGUAAGAGAGAGAGAGAGUGAGAGAGAGGAAAAAAAAGAAAAAAAAUAAGAGAGAGAGAGAGAGAGAGAGAAAGGGGCCCCCACCGAAGCUCCCCACCCCCACUAAAUACGGGGAGGCUUCGAUUUAACCCUGCUUUCAUUAUAUUUACUAGUUUAGGGCCCGCACUUCGUGGCGAAUUAACAUCCGCAGCCUAAAAUCUCAGUUUGAUUUUCGAAUCAAAAUUUAAAUUUUGAUUUCAUAGUUGAAUUUUAAAUUAUCAUUCAAAUUUAAAAUUCAAAAUUGAUGAUUUUCAAAUGAAUAUCUUUCAGACUUAAAUUUUAAAUAUUAUUUUUAACUUUUAAAUGUCAAAUAUCAAAUUUAAAAAUUUUAGUUUUCAAAUAUUAGAUUUUAUAUUUUAUAUUUUAUAUUUUAAAUCUUAAAAUUUAAAAUUUGAAUAUAAAAUGUAAAAUUUAAAAUUUAGAAACUGCAAUUUAAAAUUUAAAAUUGUAAAAUUUUUAAAUUUAGUUUUAGUAAUUAACUAUAAUGUCCCUAGUGUUUUGCGGCCUGGGUGAUAUCAGCAUCUAAGGCUUGUCGGCACAUCUGGAGAGUGUCCAGAUGUGUCACUGUUGGGAUCAAAAAAUUUUAAAAUUUAACUUCAAAUUGAAAAUAUAGAAGGUAAAAAAAUGAAUGGGGAAUGAUUAUGCUUAUCUUAGGUGACCAACCAUGAAAGAGGAAAGAAAAUAAAAUUAUGUGGUUACCUUAUUUUUAAAUUUUUUUGAAUUAUUUUU
rnacentral:lncRNA from 1 species